CCUACGGGAGGCAGCAGUCGAGAAUCAUUCACAAUGGGGGAAACCCUGAUGGUGCGACGCCGCGUGGGGGAAUGAAGGUCUUCGGAUUGUAAACCCCUGUCAUGUGGGAGCAAAUUAAAAAGAUAGUACCACAAGAGGAAGAGACGGCUAACUCUGUGCCAGCAGCCGCGGUAAUACAGAGGUCUCAAGCGUUGUUCGGAAUCACUGGGCGUAACGCGUGCGUAGGCUGUUUCGUAAGUCGUGUGUGAAAGGCGCGGGCUCAACCCGCGGACGGCACAUGAUACUGCGAGACUAGAGUAAUGGAGGGGGAACCGGAAUUCUCGGUGUAGCAGUGAAAUGCGUAGAUAUCGAGAGGAACACUCGUGGCGAAGGCGGGUUCCUGGACAUUAACUGACGCUGAGGCACGAAGGCCAGUGGAGCGAAAGGGAUUAGAUACCCCUGUAGUC
rnacentral:rRNA from 1 species